rnacentral:lncRNA from 1 species
CACCAUCAACAACUGUAGGUCAUUAAUACAGAGAUGGAAAACAGGUAUCUUUGUUUUCAAGAAACAGAAUUGGAAGAGUGGUCAAGCAGCAUAAUCCGGCAAAUUUGGGGGAAUAGAUGGGUUGACUGCGUUGACUGCGUUGACUCAAAGCCUAAGGUAAUCAGGCGGAAGAGUAAUACUAUGGGUUAAGAGGAAUGGUCUUGCUUGAAUGACAGAACGGGGCUCUUAGGCCACAUUUGUUUGCACUAAAUGGAGAUAUGAAUCCCAAACUUUGCAGAAAAUGAGGUAGAAACGUACAAAGUUAUACAUGCAGGAUGGUGCUAAAUUUCAACAGCUUCGGAAGAUACGUCCUACUUGAAUCUUGGCUAGGUGGAAGCAGAGUAGUGGUGAUUGUCCCAGAAAUUUGAAACAGAUGCAGGUUGGACAGAAUAUGGCAACAAGAUUUUAAAAUAAUUGGAAGAGUUGAUGGGCAGAAACGAACAAAACCUAUUCAGAAGCUGCAGCAACACAACUGUGGCAGAAGAGGAGAUUCGAAAGAAAACAAAGGGGAUACCAGAAGGAAGAGUUAGCGUAUAUGAAGCAACUUUUGGUGGACAGAGAAGAGUAUUUAGCCUAAUGCUUAGUGGCUAUCUCAGCGACCAAUUUAGUCCCAACCCAGAAGCGGUGGUGCUACAGAGUUGUUUUCAACAGUGCAGGAAAGUACCGACAGGUCUCAAAGUCGCAGAGGUGCGCUUCGGAAUGUACCAUUUUUGAUUUCGUAUUGUACAUUGACAGCAAACACUUCAGAGCAGGGAAUGGUUUUGGAAGGGAAGAAGGCUGGAGAUAUGACCUAAGUAUCUGGCCAGAAUCAUCGUCGAAGUUAACAGAGAUGGCAAAGUAAAUUGUCGGCAACAAUCUGAUGACUGACUAUCCGAAUUUCCAGGAGGAGACCAGUCAUCCAAGCUGAUAAAACAAGGGGAAACGAGAGGGUGAUGAGAGAUCAGCGAAUUACGUGGCUGGCUGAUUUUCAAAACUUGAAACUGAACCAUUCAAGCACUUGAUUCCAAUCAAUGAACAAACCUGGUCCAGAAUUGAAGGAAUGAAGGAAAACUGGAGAGAAAUCACCCUUCCUUCAGAAACAUGGGCUGUGCUUGUUAUGACCCUUGUAUUUUUAACAUGGGCUCCUCUUUUUCAACCUAAUGCAAUUAUACAUCCUGUAACGCUGGAAAUAGAAGUCCAAUUAUCAAAUAAAAAUACUCCAACACAAAAGAAAGAACAGUCAAGAGCUCUUAUCCCUUCCAGACCAGCUUGUGACCCCAACAGUGGAUACCAGGGACAAACAGUGGACGAAGGAGCAGACCAAUCAAUGUUUCUGCAUGGAAGAGAGAUGAUACCAACAGACACAGAACAGAAACAUAACCAAAUAUGGAUAUAUGCUCCUUGGAAAACUGGACAUCCUAUGCAUCAAUUGGGGCACCGUCUUUACCAUGGUAUGAUGAAACAAACAGUAUGCAAGGUGGUAUGAGCUCUACAACAGAAACCAAAGGUGUGCUAACAGCUGGGAGUAGGUGUGGGAGGUUUUGAACAAGAUCUAUUGGGUUUGCCGCUACGAGUAGAAUACAUGAGGAUGCAGAAAAAUCAAAAUAUCAUCAUAAAGCUACCAGCACCAGACAGUGAAAAGAGGAAAAGAAAGAACAAGGUGAAAAAAAUAGAAUUCAAAGUUGAGUAUGGGAAAGUGAAGGGAGGACCAGGCGCAGGAACAACGUAAUUUUAGAAGAUUAAGAUUCUAAGUUAGAACUUAAGGGGUGUAAACAUACUAGGAAGGGAAGAUGCUAAGGUCAUUAAUACAGAGAUGGAAAACAGGUAUCCUGUGUUUUCAAGAAACAGAAUUGGAAGAGUGGUCAGGCAGCAUAAUCCGGCAAAUUUGGGGGAAUAGAUGGGUUGAUUGCGUUGUCUCAAAGCCUAAGGUAAUCAGGCGGAAGAGUAAUACUAUAGGUUAAGAGGAAUGGUCUUGCUUGAAUGACAGAACGGGGUUCUUAGGCCCCAUUUGUUUGCACUAAAUGGAGAUCUGAAUCCUAAUCAUUCAUAUCUCAAAUAUUAAGAGCGUUUGUUUUUAAAGCCUAAAUCUUAAUCAUUCAUAUCUUACUCAUUAA